rnacentral:rRNA from 1 species
AGACACGGCCAUAUCACGUUGAGCCUAGUGAGUACUUAGAUGGGUGACCGGUUGGGAAACCUAGGUGCUGUAAGCG